AUGGGAUUCUAUAGUCUUAGUGAAUCCCUUCACCAGGACAUUACUAAAUAUAAAUCUCGCUUCCUUUGGGCAGAUAAGGGGGGUAAGCAGAAAUACCAUAUGGUGAAAUGGUCAGAAAUCUGCAAGCCUAAGGACCAGGGCGGUCUUGGCGUGAUCUCCUCCAAAUGCAUGAACAUUGCCAUGUUAUCCAAGUGGUUAUCGCGGAUCUCGUCCGGGGACGGUGGUCUCUGGUUGGAUAUUAUUCGUGCAAAAUAUCUGCAUGGACAACCAUUGGCAUUUUCUCAGCAAUCUGAGGGCUCCCAGUUCUGGCAGACUAUUAUCCAGCUUAUGCCGGCCUUAAGUCUUAGGUAUUCUAUCUCCAUUGGUAGUGGGAAUGACAAUCUUUUCUGGUUGGAUCGGUGGUCGGGCGAUCAUCCCUUUGCCAUCCGUUUCCAACCUUUAUUCCGGAUCUGUGCCAAUCCGAGGCUGCCAGUGGCUGCGGCCCUGGCAGAUUUGGGUAACAUAGGUUUCCGCCGUUCCUUUGGGCCGGCCGAGCUUCUUCUCUCAGAAGAUCUCGUCGCAUGUAUUUCUCUCCGCACUCCUUCCCUCAAGGAGGACUUGACUAGGUGGUGUCUAGAGACCAAGGGCUGGUUCUCGUCCCUAUUGUUCUACCAUGCGAUCUUGUCUGUACCAGGACCGGAUGAACUAUCCCUCCUCUGGAACAUUAAAUUUCCUCUGAAGAUUAGGAUCUUCCUUCGGCAACUGCUUCAAGGGCGACUUCCUCCGGGACGGAGGUACACUGCUACUUCUUGA
rnacentral:rRNA from 1 species